GGGGAAUAUUGGACAAUGGGGGGAACCCUGAUCCAGCCAUGCCGCGUGUGUGAAGAAGGCCUUAUGGUUGUAAAGCACUUUAAGCGAGGAGGAGGCUACUCUAGUUAAUACCUAGGGAUAGUGGACGUUACUCGCAGAAUAAGCACCGGCUAACUCUGUGCCAGCAGCCGCGGUAAUACAGAGGGUGCGAGCGUUAAUCGGAUUUACUGGGCGUGAAGCGUGCGUAGGCGGCUUAUUAAGUCGGAUGUGAAAUCCCCGAGCUUAACUUGGGAAUUGCAUUCGAUACUGGUGAGCUAGAGUAUGGGAGAGGAUGGCAGAAUUCCAGGUGUAGCGGUGAAAUGCGUAGAGAUCUGGAGGAAUACCGAUGGCGAAGGCAGCCAUCUGGCCUAAUACUGACGCUGAGGUACGAAAGCAUGGGGAGCAAAC
rnacentral:rRNA from 1 species